AUGGAGAAGAGGAGUGGGUCAGCAGCAGGGUCAGUGAAGAAGUGGAAGUACUCACAGAUCCUGGGAUUCCUCGAGCCCUUCGUCACCCCACGGGAGACCACCAGUAACAUGGUGGGGGUCGAGGCCCAGGUCAUAGAGUACAACCACCCCAGGGACCAGGGAGAGGGAGAGGCGGAAGCAGGGGAUACGGAAACAGAGCCUACAGAUAAUGAAGAGGCUGAUCCUAGAUCCCCUGCCGCUUCUCCUGUCUCCCCAGUCCCUGGUCCUUCACCCCCUGCUGCUGCACCCACAGGCCAACAGAGGAGGAGAGGCACCCAGCAUCCCCGUGAUGGUCCGUCGGAGGUGGAGCAGACGCUGCUUGAGCUCCUGAGGCGUCCUCCACCACCACCACCACCACCACUACCACCACGACCAACACAGUCUGCUGAUGAACACUUCCUCCUCAGCCUUCUGCCUUUUCUGCAGAACAUGCCGCCUCAUACAAAAGAAAUUAUAACAUUUAAAAUGUACAAACUGGAGAUGGAAAACAGCACCGUUGUGCUAAAUUUGGAACAAUCGGACCCCCACAGCCCAUAGUAGGCUUUAAAAAAAAUGAGGCAGCAGGCUCUGCAGGAAAUGCAGAAUGCCCUCCUUCCUCUUCUCCUACAUUUUGUUCCCUGAGGCUCUUCCACGUUCCAAGCGAGGUCCUUUUUAUUUCUGUCUCUGUAUGUAAAUAGUUUGUACAUGUUGUUUUUUUUAAGUUUAUAUUCAAAUUAUUUUAUGUUUGGCCUGAAUAAAUUAUUUUGAAAUAUGU
ensembl:lncRNA